ACUCAAAGGAAUUGACGGGGACCCGCACAAGCGGUGGAGCAUGUGAUUUAAUUCGAUGCAACGCGAAAAACCUUACCAGGUCUUGACAUUGAUAGAAUCCCCUAGAGAUAGGGGAGUGCCCGCAAGGGAGCUUGAAAACAGGUGCUGCAUGGCUGUCGUCAGCUCGUGUCGUGAGAUGUUCGGUUAAGUCCGGCAACGAGCGCAACCCACGUUUUUAGUUGCCAUCAGUUCGGCUGGGCACUCUAGAAAGACUGCCUAUGAAAGUAGGAGGAAGGCGUGGACGACGUCUAGUCAGCAUGGUCCUUACGACCUGGGCUAUACACGUGCUACAAUGGCCGAUACAACGCGCUGCCACUCUGCGAAGAGGCGCUAAUCGCUAAAAGUCGGUCUCAGUUCAGAUUGUAGUCUGCAACUCGACUACAUGAAGUUGGAAUCGCUAGUAAUCGUAGAUCAGAACGCUACGGUGAAUACGUUCCCGGGUCUUGUACACACCGCCCGU
rnacentral:rRNA from 1 species